rnacentral:misc_RNA from 1 species
CCGAACCCUGUCCUCUAGUGUAAGCACCAUUAAACUCACCUCCCUUUCGAAACCUUUUUGAUGUCGAUGUCGUAGUGAAGUCGUCUGGCUUCACUCCUUCCACUUCUAUCACAAUGUCUACCACCUCUUGGAAGGAUUUUGCCGUUGCCGCUAUCUGUAAGGCCGAAAUCCGCAAUUCUGACCUCAACCCCUUCAUAAACCGGCGAAUUCGCUCUUGUGGACUGAAACAUAGUUGGGUGGCGUACCGGGAUAACG